rnacentral:rRNA from 1 species
UGGGGAAUAUUGGACAAUGGGCGAAAGCCUGAUCCAGCAAUGCCGCGUGAGUGAUGAAGGCCUUAGGGUUGUAAAGCUCUUUUACCCGGGAUGAUAAUGACAGUACCGGGAGAAUAAGCCCCGGCUAACUCCGUGCCAGCAGCCGCGGUAAUACGGAGGGGGCUAGCGUUGUUCGGAAUUACUGGGCGUAAAGCGCACGUAGGCGGCGAUUUAAGUCAGAGGUGAAAGCCCGGGGCUCAACCCCGGAAUAGCCUUUGAGACUGGAUUGCUUGAACAUCGGAGAGGUGAGUGGAAUUCCGAGUGUAGAGGUGAAAUUCGUAGAUAUUCGGAAGAACACCAGUGGCGAAGGCGGCUCACUGGACGAUUGUUGACGCUGAGGUGCGAAAGCGUGGGGAGCAAACA